AUGAACAUCAUCAAGGCCAAGAGCACGGAGAAUGGAUGGGGCCUCAACCUCGGUGAGCUGGCCAGGAUCUGGAAGGAUGGGUGCAUCAUCCGCCUCAACAUCCUGGACCGCAUCAAGAAGGCCUACGACAGUAAUGGUGAGCUGGCCAAUCUCCUCAUCGACCCCGAGUUCGCGCAGGAAAUCAUGGACAGGCAAGCUGCAUGGCGGAGGGUCGUCUGCCUCGCCAUCAACAACGGCGUCAGCACCCCCGGCAUGUCCACAAGUCUGGCCUACUUCGACUCCUACCGGAGGGACAUGCUUCCAGCGAACCUGGUCCAGGCCCAGAGGGACUACUUUGGGGCGCACACCUACUUCAGGCCCAGAGGCUCCUUCCACACCGAAUGGUACAAGAUCGCCAACUUGAAGAUCUAA
rnacentral:rRNA from 1 species